rnacentral:rRNA from 1 species
UCGGCGGACGGGUGAGUAACGCGUGGGCAACCUGCCCCGUGCCGGGGGAUACCGCCUGGAAACAGGCGCUAAUACCGCAUAAGCGCAUACAGCCGCAUGGCAGUAUGCGGAAAGCUCCGGCGGCACGGGAUGGGCCCGCGCCCGAUUAGCCAGUUGGCGGGGUAACGGCCCACCAAAGCGACGAUCGGUAGCCGGCCUGAGAGGGCGGACGGCCACAUUGGGACUGAGACACGGCCCAAACUCCUACGGAAGGCAGCAG